ACCUGCCCCCCCAACCAGAAAACCUACCCAGAGGGGGCCCCUCACUUUGUGCAGCAGAGAAAAGUCAUCCCUGAUGUUCUGCUGGAAUUCCUAACCCACAGAGUCCCUGAGUUUAACAAGGAAGGUGUUUCUGCCAUUAAAUUUUACGCAUCCAUCAUGUGUAUACUCUGCACCAGGCACUGGGCUACAUGCUGAUGACAUGCAGCUGAAAAAUCACUUGUGGAUUAUUCUGGACUCAUCUGUAGAAGAGUCUGGUUCUCACUGAAUUUCACUGGGAG